rnacentral:rRNA from 1 species
UGGGGAAUAUUGCACAAUGGGGGAAACCCUGAUGCAGCGACGCCGCGUGAGCGAUGAAGGCUUUCGAGUCGUAAAGCUCUGUACUAUGGGAAGAUAAUGACGGUACCAUAGAAGAAAGCCCCGGCUAAUUACGUGCCAGCAGCCGCGGUAAUACGUAAGGGGCGAGCGUUGUCCGGAAUUAUUGGGCGUAAAGAGUGCGUAGGCGGCAAAUUAAGUCAGAUGUGAAAACUAAGGGCUCAACCCAUAGAUUGCAUCUGAAACUGAUAUGCUUGAGUCAAGGAGAGGAAAGUGGAAUUCCUAGUGUAGCGGUGGAAUGCGUAGAUAUUAGGAGGAAUACCGGUGGCGAAGGCGACUUUCUGGACUUGAACUGACGCUGAGGCACGAAAGCGUGGGGAGCAAACAGG